rnacentral:rRNA from 1 species
GACAGAGGUGGCAAGCGUUGUUCGGAUUUAUUGGGUGUAAAGGGCAGGUAGGUGGCUGGGUAAGUCUGAUGUGAAAUCCAAAGGCUCAACCUUUGAACUGCAUUAGAAACUGCCCGGCUUGAGGACUGGAGGGGUGAGGGGAAUUCUCGGUGUAAGGGUGAAAUCUGUAGAUAUCGAGAGGAAUACCGGUGGCGAAGGCGCCUCACUGGCCAGUAUCUGACACUGAGCUGCGAAAGCUAGGGGAGCAAACAGG